CUGCAGCUGGAACUCUGUUUAGAUCAUAAAAUAAUUUUUUUCACAAUCUUUCCAGUGCCUCCACCAUUAUUGUGUUCUAUGGGUAUCAGUGCUUGGUUUGAAUUUUUUUUUAGUAAUAUCCUCCCAAGAUACCAAUUGUUUAUCUGUGUUUUACAAAUAAGGAAGUGGGACACAGAAGGGUUGAGAUCUUAUGUGAAACCACAUUCUGGGUACCUGAUCUGAGAUGCCACUGGUUUCUCUAAGCAUGAUGUAUUUCUCUUGAUCCCAUUCUAACCCCUCAUUAAGGUAAGAUACCACAAACAGAAAUUUUCCAUGAAAAUCACUGUGAGAACCUGAUGGUAAGGGCAGAAAAGGAAUCCUACUGAUGUGAGCAAUGUUUAAGUGCCUUUACUAUGAAAGUAAUCUCUUUCACAUGCAACCACCUGCCCUGUGCACCUACAUCUUGUAGGUCUAUCAGACAAGCAAGGGUCCCUGAGACAAUUGUCUCCUUCAUUACAAAACCUUGGUUCUGGUCCAGGGUAGCCUGAGUAACAAGGAGCCCAACAGCCCCACCUAUAAUUAUGAAGCGAGCUUCCAAAUACAAUAUCAAACACAAAGGCUUAAGGAAUGUUAACUGCUGCAUGUAGGACAAGCUCAAGUUAAAGUACUGACAGAUUUAUUUGUUCCAGUUGAAAAACCAAACAACAUUCAAUAAAUUUUGUGUGUGAUAGUAGCAAACAGUAAUAUUGCUACGGAGCACACACUGAGCCUCACAGUGUGAGGUUUCCUUGUUGGCCAUCUUCUGUGGAGAGCAGACACAGAGUGUCACCGGUCUUCUCAUUGUAUGCACUAGUAAAACAUUCACAUCAAAAUCAUUUAGCAUGUAGUUUGCAGCAAAACCACAACAUGUGCUUUUUGCUAUAGCAUGUCCCUACAUUUGCUACUUCUUAGACAGCAGAGUGUCUCAUCUGAUAGCUGGUGCAGAGUCCCCGUGCUGUCACAGGUGCCUGGAGCCACAGCAAGGCAAGGGCAAGAAGGAUCCCCAGGAGGGUGCUAAAUACACCUGGGCUGUGCCAUUGACACUGCCAGCAGUGCCACCCAGGUCUGUGGUUGAAGUCUGUCUACACUAUCAGUGUGAUUAACUACACCAGCAACUUUUAAUUACCUGCAGAUGGGGUGGGAGUAUGUGGGGAAAUUGCUAUCUCAGAGUAAAUCAUUGCCUCCCAUCCUUUUAUCCCUUAUGCAAUACAGAUCACUGAGUCUGCCUACUGACAGCAACAGGACCAGGAUUUCCUAAGCCUACUAUUGGGGAUCUAGUUCUGAAAAUGAUGGAAAAUUCUGGCAGUAUUUUGAACAGAGUUCUUCCAGCUGGAAGCCUUCAAUUUUGAUAAAUGCUCUGUAUAUGUUGGCUUGAUGGAAAGUGUUAAACUGGUGUAGGAUCAGACUCAUCACUGAGAACAGCACUGGUUUCCUUCUUCUGCCUGCACAACAACAUAUUUUUGUCUGAUGCCAUCAGGCUGUUUGAAAAGAAGCUAACCUCCUACUGGAGCCAGUGAAAGGAAGAAAUGCAAAAUGCACUAGGAAUGGCUGGUUUUGUUAGCUAAGCAGAAGAUGCAUGUGGACUGCCCUCUGUGUAAACUGCCCAGCUACAUACUGGCCUCCUGCCUGGCCAGCCAGUUCCUCAGCUCCUGGGUCAGCCAAAUGCCUUGGGAAAGGGUUAAACUUCAUGCCAUGGCUCUUUCUGGAUAAAGGAGUGGACAAAGAUUUUCCAUGUGACUCAGCCUCAGUUUUCAUAAGGCAUCUGCUCCUCUCUGCAAUUUGGGUGAUGUCCUGACUCUCAGGUUCAAAAGUUUCUAGAAGGGGAGUGACGGAUUGACACAGAAGACUUUCAACUCCUCCAGCAACCAAGCCAGAAACAUACUCUGCCAGGAAUACUAUGUGUUGAUGAAAAGUUUUAUGAAGAAGAACACACACGUAUCUGAAACAGAAGGAAAUAAGUAUAAAAAAAAGCACAGCAAAGCCAGUAUACAGAAACAACAUAUGCAAUUACUUGAGUAUAUACCAAGAGAAUUUUUUAUACCACUUAGGGCACACCAUACUGGUGUUUAAGAAGAAAAUCCUCUUAGAUUUCAUCACACUAAAAAUUUACCAUCUGUUAUAUGGAAGUUUGUUUUUCCCUUUCGUUGUAAUUAACUUUUUAUUGAAUUAAUUACCCCAGGUGAGCUGGAAGCGGCUGUUCUACCUCACCUGGUGUGGCUAAGUGUACCCACGCCCAGCCUUGCCAUUCACCAUUCAGAUGCAAAUCGUCCUGCUCCCCACACGAAAUCCUUGGCACACGCCCAAAAAGCCUGCUAGCGACAAAAAACAAUAACAUGGCAGGCAGCUGCUGCUGCACAGAAGGGAAAAAAGUUUUAGUGAAAAAGACAUAUAUUUCCUGCUUGGUCAUUUAAAAAUGUGUAUUUUACUGAACAAAGCAGGUGAGAAAAUAUUGCAGAAAAAGAGAGAGUGAAUUUUAAAUAACUUUUGCACGGCACCUACAGGACACUGACCCCUUUUGUGCAUGACAUUGAAUAAUUUUGCUGCUUUGAUACAUUAUGCUUCUGUCUCUGUCUGUAUGCAUGUGUACACACAGGCACAAGCAGUGAAGAAAACCUGUCAAGAAAUUAAAAUAAAGCAGUGAGCUGAACUGGAUUA